rnacentral:rRNA from 1 species
AUUGAACGCUGGCGGCAUGCCUUACACAUGCAAGUCGAACGGCAGCACGGGAGCAAUCCUGGUGGCGAGUGGCGAACGGGUGAGUAAUAUAUCGGAACGUGCCCAGUCGUGGGGGAUAACGCAGCGAAAGCUGUGCUAAUACCGCAUACGAUCUCUGGAUGAAAGCGGGGGACUCAGCAAUGGGCCUCGCGCGAUUGGAGCGGCCGAUAUCAGAUUAGCUAGUUGGUGGGGUAAAAGCCCACCAAGGCGACGAUCUGUAGCUGGUCUGAGAGGACGACCAGCCACACUGGAACUGAGACACGGUCCAGACUCCUACGGGAGGCAGCAGUGGGGAAUUUUGGACAAUGGGCGAAAGCCUGAUCCAGCAAUGCCGCGUGCAGGAUGAAGGCCUUCGGGUUGUAAACUGCUUUUGUACGGAACGAAACGGUUCUCCUUAAUACGGAGGGCUAAUGACGGUACCGUAAGAAUAAGCACCGGCUAACUACGUG